rnacentral:rRNA from 1 species
AACGAACGCUGGCGGCGUGCUUAACACACGCAAGUCGAACGCGAAAGUUUUCUUCGGAAGACGAGUAGAGUGGCGCACGGGUGAGUAACGCGUAAGUAAUCUGCCCUGGUAUCUGGGAUAACCCACCGAAAGGUGUGCUAAUACCGGAUACGCUGAGCAAUCAGGAAAGGUGGCCUCUUCAUGAAAGCUACUGUACCAGGAGGAGCUUGCGCACCAUUAGCUAGUUGGUAGGGUAAUGGCCUACCAAGGCAACGAUGGUUAGCGGGUCUGAGAGGAUGAUCCGCCACACUGGAACUGAAACACGGACCAGACUCCUACGGGAGGCAGCAGUGAGGAAUAUUGCGCAAUGGGGGAAACCCUGACGCAGCGACGCCGCGUGGAUGAUGAAGGCCUUGGUCGUAAAUACCUAGUCAGAUGGAAGAAAUAGUAGUAUGCCUAAUACGUAGUAC